AAAAACAUCUCUCCUUGAAUUAUGAAUUAGGAGUAGGCCCUGCCCGGUGGAUUUAUCUAAACGGAACAUUGUUUAAAGUAGCGUAAUAAUUCGUCCCUUAAUUAGGGUCUGUAUGAAAGGGUUGACGUGGAGUGACUGUCUCUGAAGAAUAGAUUGAAAUUUUCUUUUUAGUGAAAAGCCUAAAAUGGCCUUAAAAGACGAGAAGACCCCGUCGAGCUUAAGAAAAAGAGAGGAGUAUUCCUUUUUUUUCAGGUUUGUUGGGGCAACAGAGGAGAAAAAAAACCUCCUCUCUUUAUUGAGAUCCGUUAUUAACGAAAAUAGGAAAAAGUUACCGCGGGGAUAACAGCGUAAGACGGCUUGGGAGUUCUUAUCUAAGGCCGUAAGUGCGACCUCGAUGUUGGAUUAAGGUGAGCUUAAGGGUGCAGCAGCUCUUAAAGCGGGACUGUUCGUCCUUUAAAUCCUUACAUGAUCUGAGU
rnacentral:rRNA from 1 species